UACGUAGGGUGCGAGCGUUGUCCGGAAUUAUUGGGCGUAAAGGGCUCGUAGGCGGUUUGUCGCGUCGGGAGUGAAAUCCAUUGGCUUAACUGGUAGCUUGCUUUCGAUACGGGCAGACUGGAGGUAUGCAGGGGAGAACGGAAUUCCUGGUGUAGCGGUGAAAUGCGCAGAUAUCAGGAGGAACACCGGUGGCGAAGGCGGUUCUCUGGGCAUGUCCUGACGCUGAGGAGCGAAAGUGUGGGGAGCGAACAGG
rnacentral:rRNA from 1 species